UCUCGUCUCUCACCCUUUUGCAAUACCUGCCUGAAAAAGGUGAGGCUUCCUAUCCAUAAUAACCAUGUGAUAGGUAGCUCAAGUCAGAGCUGGGUUCCCUUCACCUUCAACCUUUUACUCUGCAGGCUGAAUGAAUGCUGCUCUCAUUCUGUCUCACACAUUACAUGCUCCACUUCUUCACCAUCUCCUUCGCUGUCUGGGGAGCUCAAAGACUACACAACUCCAGAUGUGGUCUUAAAAAAAAAAAAAAAAGUUGAAUAGAGGAGCAAGAAUACUCACUUCUGUUAACCUGCUGGCUCUGUGCUUCUGAGUAGAGCCUGGUACAUGAUUAGCUUUCUCUGUUGCAAGGGCAUUUUGUUGUCUUGACCACCUUGGUCCUUGUCUAUCCAGGAACCUUCCAUCCAUUGAGCACCCAGCCAGUCCUCUUACGUGAAGUUAUUCUGUUCCUGGUGCAGGACUCUAUUUCUCUCUGGAAUUGAUCGUGUUUCCAUUAACCUUGGCUCCAUUUUGAAUGACCAGCCACCAGCCUUUGAGCCCAAUCUUUCACCAGUACAGUGCCUCACAGGACCUGUCCUGGCAUGGAAAACCACCUCUCCAGAGGAAAGGCGGGCAGCCAGAGUGGGGUUUUUCUUAGGGGACUGUUUCAAAAACACAGUGCAGGAAGCUGAAAGGAGGCUCUAGGGAGCACUGUGAGGGUGGUUUCAAAGGCGGGCAUUAUGAAAGAGAGCGUAACAGUUGUGCUUGGGGCUCUGAACACUGAGCAUUUUGCAGCUUUGUAAACGAGUAAUAUCUUCACAAACAAAAAUUACACUGUGACCAGCGUAAUCAUUCAAAUUUCCAAAACAGCAUAGAAAAACUGCCAGUGAAAGCUCCUCUGGUGCAUCACUCAGACCGAAAGCUCUACGUGCAACUCCAGAACCUGCAGUAGUUCAUCAUCAGCUGAAAAGAGUCUUGCAGGAGUUUUAACCUUGCUGAGAACAAGCAAAAAGUAAAAAUUCUGAAGUGGGGCGAUGGGAGACUUGGCGCAGGUGAAGCGUGGCGAGGCACGGGGCGUUCAGCUGCUCGGCUGAAGCCGCAAUCAGGCCGCGCUUAGCCGCACCUGGGAGGAGCUGAUGAGGCGUGAGCGUGCGGAGCUCGUGGCACAAGAUGGCGGCGCGCCGGGGGCAGGGCGUGUGCUUCAGCCAGCGAGGAGCGAGUCUUGCAGCGGGGGGCAGCGCUACGUGGGGGAAUAUGUGUAAGGAAUAAUGCUGCUGCGCUAAACCUCAUGCCACUAUUUGUGUGAUACCGUGGGACUUCAGUGUUGCUGCAUUUCAGACCAGGGCACAGUUAGCUAAGCAGAGUGACCUGAUUCAUGCUGGAUCAACAUAUUAUCAACUUGAGGUUGUCACUACAAAGUAAGUGUGGUGAAGUCUGCCUGUUCCAACUAAAAUCAAAGCCGUCUCCUGACAUACGGUAGUGCUGAAGUCAGCAGUUUCUACAAGGGAAAGGAAAGCCUUUGCUUGUCUCGCCACUUGUUGUUGCACUCCAGAAAUUGGCUGUAAACAAGAACAGACAGAAGUUUUACCAACCAUCUGUAGCCCUCUGGAUGCCAAGUGGGCAGGCUUUCUUGGUGUACUGCCCAUGGAUGACAACAGGAUAUGCUGCCACUGACGGUGCCAAGGAGGUAUCUUCAGAGCUCUGAAGUAAAACCUCAUAGAUGGGUAAUGCUCACUUCCUCCAGAAUGUUUCAAAAUACCGACAAAAUGUUACUGCUGUAUCUGUAGAUGGAAAUGAUGAACUCUGCUUCCUUCAAGAAUGAAUUGAUAGAUGUACUCUAUCACCUUGUUAUGUAAUGAAACAACUAUGAACCAGAACCAUAAGGAUGAGCUUGACAUUGCAGGCUAAAGCCAGUGCAGAUUUUACAGAAAAUAGUAAUAAGGAAGAAGACACAAAGUAAUAAACGCAGCAACUUCCAGAUUGACACUAAGCUUACCUAUGAUCUUUUCAUGUAUCACCUCUUCCUCCAAACAUCAGGCCUCUAAAGCUUCUGAUUUGAGCCUCUUGUACUAUGAGAAAGCAGUUUUCAGAGGAAUGCCUGAAAAUAGUAUCAAGUUAUCUUGUUGGGAGCUACUUGCAUCCUUUGAUUCCAGGAGCCAAGUGCCAGUUUUCGUUUUGAACAACGCUUCCUAAAGCCAUAAAAGGAGACCCACGAAGGAGAAAUAUGAAAGGCAGAUGGACACAAAGCAUAGAAGAAUUGGAAAAAAUGGACAAAGACUGAAACAACGGUGUGCAUAAUAGCCGACCAAAUCUUCAGUAAGACUGACCAUCUUUACAACCUAAUCCAAAAUGACUUCCCUCAGAGUUAGGUAUUUCAGGGGAAUGGUGCUUUGCAUUAAAGAAGCAGUGCCUGGGGAAAGAAACGAUGCAAGAUGAGGCUUGAACAAGAGGACUGUGCUUGAAUACAGUGUGCCUGAAAAGUGCUGUUGACAUGAGGUCUGCAGCUGCCUUUCACCACUCAGUGCACUGGCUUCCAGUGAAGUGAGCAUAGAGGAAAGAUGGGGAGCUUGGCUGUAGCCUCACUGACUUUUAUUUGACAUAGAAAGCGAACGUGGGACAAGAAUAUUAGCAUGAGGAUAACUGAGCAAAUGGUAUUAUAUUCCUGAUAAAGCCAGAAGCGAAAUGGAUACUUUCAGAAGUGUAAUCAGAGUUGAUUGGAUUGACAAUGCAAGGCAUUUAUGUCAUUAAUAAGAACAAUACUUUUUUUUUUUUUUUUUUUUGCUGAACUAUUCUUCUAAGUGCUUUCCAAAACCACAGAGACAUCAUAUGUUGAUUUUCUUGGCAGAAAUCAAAGCUCUCCGCUCUUCCUCAUACAUGUAAGAUGUAAUAAUGUUGAUACGUCUCCUCAGGGUUGCUAUUUUGAUAGUAUUACCUAUUCAGUGGUUUUCUCAGUUCUGCUUUUAUUACUUAGCCUAGUUUUAAGACAAGGAAUAGCAAACAUUCAAGAAUCAACAGAAGGGUAAAACAGUUUUACUGUUGAUAUCAGAACAAUUAGGGGACAAGUUCAGUGAAAAAUUUUACAUUUAUAUAUGAUGGUACAGAUGAUUUUCAAAAUCUACUUCAUUAUUUAGUAGGAUGAGUCUGAAUCAGCAGUGUGGUGUGCAACACUGACAGCAUAGCCCUACUGUACUAUAUAACAGUAUACUGCAUUGGAAUUAUGAAAAUUACUGUGGAACUGAGUUAUGUUACAGAUUAGGAAAUUGUGAGACCAUGACAUCUAUUCCCACCAAAAGGACCUGUAAGUUAGAAAUUAGAAAAGCUACUUAACAGUUUAUCUAAAGAAGGAGUAUGGUGAGUAUGGACAGCAAGCACAGCUGUCACUAAGAUCUCCUCAGAAAUUGCAUGCUGCAUGAAUGAUAGUUGUGUGUCUGCGUCAUCGAUGUAACUAAGGGCAGGUUUACAACAUGUAAUGUUCUUCAACUUGCUGUGACCACACACAAAUUGAACGCAUCAGCUACAUAUUUUUCUUGAUAAAUUCUCUAGGACAGAGGGAAUAUUUAGCUGGUUUGAAUAGAGGAAAAUGCUCAUGGCUUUUUGGCCAGCCUUGUGUCUAUGGGUCUGUGUAAGAGAGAGAGAGAAGGUUUUGCCUACAGGAGUUUCAAUUUGUGCCAUGUUGAGAGGAAGAGAAACACCAAGUUUUGAUUAACAGAGAACCUGACAGUCCCUGAAAUGUACUUUAAGAGGGAAAUACGCAUAAUGCACACUGGAUUUGGAUAGGCAGUGUGGAUAAAGAAACAUAUGCACAAGGACUGGAUAUAAAAAAUAUCCCCCCAAAAAACUUAAAGUAUUAAGAAUGAAGAGAAUAAGCAUUAAGUUGCUUGAGUAAAUAUAAUAUUGAAUGAUUAGAGACACAACGCUUACUUGUAAGACAUGGUUUGCACGCAGAGGCUCAAGAGAAUGCUACAAAAGUCAGUGCAGGAAUUUGAAAAUCAUGUGAACAAACUCAUCUAAUUUAAGAGUAUAGUUAAUUACUUCAUAGCCACUACACUGUAGACGGAUGAAGCGAGAAGCUGCAACAGUAAAAGCAGAAGGUACAGAAGGCUGUUGAUGGUAAAAGGGAGAACAGUAUCUAAAGAGUGCUAUGAAACCAAAGACAUUCUGAGAAUACUGUUUAGAGUAGAUGAAAAAAAGGAAAAGAUUGCAAUUUUUGUACAAAGUCCUGGUAUUUGUAAGAAAACAAAACCAAAUUUGAAUGAAAGCCCAAAAAUCGCAAGAGAAAAAGACAUUAGUCAUUUUUUAGAUACUCAAAGUACUGAAACACAAAUGUGAUUAAAAAAAAUGAUCACAAAUAGAAACAAAUGAACACCCACAAAUUGAAAGGAAAUCACACACAAACGCUAAAAUUGCAAAGUGAAUUGCAAACAUCCUAAUAUACAAUAAAGCAGCAACUGAUUUGACACUAACUGGAAGAUAAUUUGUAUCUGAUCAAGAUUAAAUAUUUGCUUUUCUCUAAAUUGAAUCUCCCAGUAGAAGUUCUUCAGAUUUUUUACAGGCCAAAUCUCAGUAUUUCCAAAUCAGACUCCACAAGAAAUCCAUUAAGAUGAAGCAAGAGAAAAACUGCAAAAUAUCAUCAGCUCCCUGUUGCCUGAUGCAGACAGUUACAGAUGAUGUGUCUGGUACGUGGAGAAACUAAACAAGUUCACGCCAGAGGCAGUGUCUUACUCUGAAUCAGAAAGUUUUAAGGAAACCACAGCACUGAAUGCAUUCUUAAUAAAAGCAUAAUAUGUAAAGCAUGAUGCUCUGCAGCACGCACUGGAAAUAGAUUUCACCUGCAAUUCUCUCUCUUAAAUUAUUGUAAGGAUAAUUUCACAUUCUGCACAAUUUCAUCACCUUUCCAGAAUGGCUGGAAAGCUCAUUAAUUUAACUGUGGGAGCAAAGUAAACUUGUAAGAGCUCUGCCUGCUAAUGUCACUCUCUUUGAUUUCUGUUGCAUUCCCUUGGAGACAAGAAUUGAGCGAGAGAGGGAGGAGAAGAAUGAGAAGACAAAUGAGCUCAGGGCAUGAAGCGCCCGGGGAAGGAUUGGAUGGACUGUCAAGAGUUACAGGAGGGGAUUGAGAAGAAAAGCACCUCUGGGAAAGGGGGAGGCAGGGAAGCUAAACGCCUUAGAGAAAAUGACAGGAGACACGGGAAGGAGCGAGAUACAAAGUAGGGACAUCUGGAAACCUAGUAGGACAGGAAGGGCUAGGGAGGCAAAAAGAGACAUGGAUGAAAUGGAGUGAAAUUGCAGGGAAGAGGAGGAGGCAUCUUAGUGUGGAUCAGAUAUUUAUUGCCUGCUGACAUUGCUCCCAAAAGGAAGAUGAUGUGAAUGGGGGAGAACACAGGAAGGAGAUAAUGAUCAGCUACUGGAAAUAACGUACUGUAUAGGGAACAAAGUUAUCUCAGAUUAGCUACAGGGGUGAGAGAAAGCCGAAGGCGAUCCCAUACAGUCUGCACCUUCCAGGGAAAUGGAGGCACCGGACACAAGUCAGAAAAAAAUGCAAAUGCCUGGAACUGCAGCAUCUAUUUUCUCUGGGACUGAUCAGUCGGCUCACCCCUGCACAACUGCAGAUGCCCUGUGGCUCCAGUCAUCUCGAUCCGUCCCAAACCAUCCUUAGUGGGGAGACACCUGAGGGCCAGGCACACCAGGGGACAAACACCACAGCCUCGACAAUGCAGACUUCCAUUUAACAUCCCUGUUCUGGAAUAAUUUGCCCUCUUAAGCAUCACCAACCACUCUGUUAGCAGUGGGGUUUUUAAGCAUUUUCAGCUGAACUGAAAGCCUGGCUGGCCAGAGCUGGCAUGGCAGGGCAUUUGAGGAGACCAGGAAUGCAGGCUGUGGGUUUGCCUCCCGCUAGGGGCACCGCAGGGCCCUUUGGUUAUUCACUUCUGAUUACAAGUGCUUGCAAUUUUCAUUUAAAAGAGCACAUAAAAUGGAAAGAUUGCCAUUGUGUCAGUCCUUCCCUUAGGCAAAGUGGAGACUAAAUAAAAUAAAACCUAGAUUAUAUAGUGUCCAGAUGAAGUGAAAAAAAAAAUAGAAUUCUUUUGGAUCUGAUAUUAGUGUGACUUCGUCUGUGGGGGAGAGAGAAACCCUAACAGAAAAUCAUGAAAAGAUGUUUUAAUAUGUGCCAGGGAAGUGAUUGCCAAUUUUUGGUAUGGAGUGUUUUUCUUCCAAGAUUCUUUCUUUUCACUAAGAAGUUGUUCUAAAAGAAAAUAAAAAGAGUUGUCUUAAAUCUACUCCUUCAUCACUGAGAACUCAGCUGAAUCCAUGCUGCAGAGGUACAACACAUUUGCACAAGAGAGGAGUUGGCAAAACUAUUACUGGAUUGGCUCUAAAAACCAGAUUUUUUUAUCACAAGAAAUGCAAUAUUUUUACUCUGCUGUAACUUCUGCCAUUCAAACAGGUGCAGGACGACCAAAUGGUGAAACAGCCAAGCCAGAGUGAGAGCUGAAAAAUGCCAUCUCUAUUCCAUGUUCUGACAGUUGAGAAGUUUUGCCUCUGAGUUGGAAGAAAGUCUGAAUUCACCACGGAAUAUAAACUUUGUUGCCUCCUCAAAAUAUUUUGAGAAGCUGAGUAACAAUAUAGAAUGAAUAAAGUAUAUAAAAUACAUAAAUUCCUAUAUUAAAAGAAAAUGUAUCCAGCAAUGAAACUGAAAUAUUUUGCUGUUACUAAAAUAGAAUAAGAAAGUCUGAAAGAUUUCUUCUCCUAAUUUCUUAUUCCUAGCCAGGCAUCCUAGGGAAACCUUUCUGUUUUACCAGGCGUUCAUUUUAUUCAGGAGAGAAGCGUUCAGCUGCAUACGUUUUAGCCCACGCUGCCUACCAACAUGAAUAUGCAAAAGCUGGGACUGAGACACACGCACACAAGUGCACUGUGUCACCCCAAUGCAAGCCCUGAUGCAAUAAGCCUAGUUUCCAUUUUGGCAGUGGUUGCAGAAGGCUCUGGAAGGGCUGCCGAAGUCAGAUUUACUAUUACAAAUCAUCAGCACUGAAAAGCAAAGUCAAAACAACGUUUGUUGCUCCUAGAAUAAGAGAUGUCAGAAUGGGCUUGUUUAUAUCUGCUUUUUCUUCAAAAGGGAAGUACACAGACAUAAAUUUAGUGUAUGGGGAUUUUAUGUCAGAAAAAAAAAAAGAACACCAAAAAAAAAAACCCAAAAAGCAAAAAAGCAGCUGCGAUGCCCGAUGGAUGUUUUCGAGAGUGCUGCUCUGGCAAGAAAAAUAACUCGGUGCUUUUUUUUUUUUCUCCCACUUAUUCCCUGUAGCUUUACAUAAUCAGCACAAUUUUUUAUUUUUGGUAUUAACUCGUAUGGAGCAUCACAGAAAACAUGACUGCAAGGGACCUUGAGAGGUCAGAUGAUGCAGCCCCUACCCCAAGGCAGGAUCUGUUCUUCCUAAGUUAGUCCUCAAAGAUGUCUAAUCUGCUCUUAAGGACAGCCUGCACAGGGUAAGGGGUCACUUCUGUCCGCCCCAGGGCUCCUCAGCCUUCACCAACAAGUUUCUCCAAGUGUCUAAUCUGACUCUUCCUUGUUGCAAUUAAACAGAAUUUUAAUUUGCCACAGAUAUGGGGAGGAGAUUAAUAUCUUUACUUCUGCAAAAGCCUCAGACAGCCUUGGAUUUGGGGUGAGUAGAACUGCUUAGCUCUCACUGUUAUUAUUUUGGCUUGAGUCUUCCAGUGAGACUCUGGUCUGAGGUAUUUAGGAAGUACAUAAGCAGAGCUUGGAAAUGAUACUGAUACUUUCUGAGGGGAACGGUCUGCCCUUUGGGCUCUGCAUAAGCCAGCUGGACGGACCUAACACCGACCAGGAAAUCAAAAUGAAAACAGAUCAGAUGCGAAAGAUGGCUGCUUAGAGACUCAGUAAAUAACUAUGUAUUUCUUGACAUGCAGUACCCUAAGUUCUUCCUGUGAUGAAAAAUACAGACCUAUAAAACAUUUACUAGUGAACAUAAAAUCUACCCCUUUUGCAAUCUUGCUGAUGCUAUUAAGGCACAUUCAGGGGCCAUCAGCAGUGCACUAUAGUAGGCACACAAAAACCACACACUCACGGUGAGAAAUUACUGCCCUGAUUAGAACUCUGGCUCCUCAAUUAUCCAGUAUGCACACCAGCAUGAUCUGAAGUGCCUGCUGUACCCAACAGAUGCCUUAAUUUCAGUAAGGGACUUCACUGUCCCCAAACCGCCUGCCUUUCCCAACUCGCACACUGGAAACAGGUGGUUUCUGUGUGUCACAGUGAAACACUUGGUGUACUGUGUGGAAAUGGAGGAGUAUUCACAGCCCAUCCUAAGCUGUGCUUUGGUCUCUGAGCGUAUAGGGCACAGGUAACUUGCAGGACAGAAUAUGCGCCCUCCCCACUGAACAGCUUUUCAUUCCUAUGUAUCCUCGCUGUGCUUCUGUGUCCUCCUGCCAGGACCUAAAAAAAUGUGCAGCGAUGCACAAAUGCACCAUUAAAUAUUACAGGCAUGAGCUAAUGCUUUGGUAACAUGCCCACUCCCCAAGCCCUGCCAAUUUACAGAUUACUGUAAGAAUACCUUAAAACUGGCAGCGAUGCCAUUCCACCUGCUGUCUCUGGUAGGGAUCAGCAUUUCUAGCCGUGUCUCCACUUCAGGACACAAUAUGCAGUGAAGCAACACCUGCUGCUCUCGUGUCUCUGAUGGGCACAUGUAAAGGUUGGAGAGUAGAUACAGGUGCUCAGAGCCUUCCCACACACUGCGUCAGCCAAAUGCGCACUGACAGAAACGUGAAGUUAUCUCAGAACACAGAUGUUUGGCUUUGCUGCCACUGCCUGACACCAGCACUUUAUUUUCUUUAUCAUGUGUGUUGAAUUGAAAGCUUUUUUUUGGCCCUGACCUUGGCAGCAGUUGCUACUGCUUUUCAUCUAAAAGAUAGAAGAAAAGAAGGGGGGGGGGGGGGGAAAAGGAUUUUCAUGAUGCCCUUUGUAAUCCCAAGUACUUCAAUGGAGGGCCCUUGAACACUUUCACUUAUCAUACUAACUCUGCAUCUUCAUAGGCACAUUUUUAUCCAACCUUAGUAUCUGUCUUUCAGGUGAUUUAAGUAUACAUGUAUUUUCCAAUUGACAGAUGACUGAAAAAAGUCUGUUAAUUUUAUAUCUAUCUUUUCUGAAAUAAAUUGCAUUUUAAGCUGUA